CCAGUGAUGAAGUUUUUCUUUCAGAGUUGUGAAAAUGACGAUAUAAAAAAAUAUUCCUCUAAGAAGUUCUGAAGGGA